rnacentral:lncRNA from 1 species
GAAAGUUUGGGAUAUGUCAUGUGAUACUAAACAUGCAUGUUCCACAAAUGUCCUGUCAAGUGAAGCAGAAAACUGGAAGGUGCGUGCAUUCCCUUGUGUAAUAAAGAGGCAGCAAGACAAACAGGACACCGACAGGAAUUCUAGGCUGUAAGACCUGCAUCCGUAAUGGAAGGAGACAUAAUGGGAGGAGUAACUGGGUCGCAGUGCACAGGGGCACAGCUGGCCUUGAGGAGCACCCAGCCUGCUGCUGGACGCACCUACCACCGUCAGCAGACGUACUGGACACAUCCCGUGAGUGCGCCUUGAAAUACAUGGAACCAUGUGUGACAGCUGCCUCACAGGGAUACUGACAUUUCAUGAUGACAACUGGCAGUGAAGAGGCUGCCAGGAGCACCUGUGCGCAGGCUGGUGAGAGCAAGUGGAAGCAGAAAUCGCGAAGGAUGA